GGCCCUUCCUGAGAGAAUACAGUGCUCAAAUAUGCUAUUGAUACAUCAAAACCCUCAGUUUGCUGCUGAUACUGGAGGGGAUCAAAUGGACCAUCUGCCACUUUCCAGUCAAUUUCACUCCUUCCUAUGAAAUCAGGUGCUACCAACCAUGCAAACUUCUUCUUGCAGUUAUCUUUUGGAGGGAAAAUUUCUUGUGAUAGUGAUGCAUUAUU
rnacentral:misc_RNA from 1 species